rnacentral:rRNA from 1 species
AGGCAGCAGUGGGGGAAUAUUGCACAAUGGGGGAAACCCUGAUGCAGCCAUGCCGCGUGUGUGAAGAAGGCCUUCGGGUUGUAAAGCACUUUCAGUAGGAGGAAGGUAGUGUAGUUAACACCUGCACUUAUUUGACGUUACCUACAGAAGAAGCACCGGCUAACUCCGUGCCAGCAGCCGCGGUAAUACGGAGGGUGCGAGCGUUAAUCGGAAUUACUGGGCGUAAAGCGCAUGCAGGCGGCCUGUUAAGUCAGAUGUAGAAACGGCCCGGGGCUUAACCUCGGAAUUGCAUUUGAAACUGGCAGGCUAGAGUCUUGUAGAGGGGGUAGAAUUUCAGGUGUAGCGGUGAAAUGCGUAGAGAUCUGAAGGAAUACCAGUGGCGAAGGCGGCCCCCUGGACAAAGACUGACGCUCAGAUGCGAAAGCGUGGGGAGCAAACAGGAUUAGAUACCCUGGUAG